AAAUCUGAACAAAUGAUAAUGAUUUCAAACACGCAUUCUUAUUGCACCUAGCAAACCUCAUCUAAUGCUCACUGAAGUCAACGGAGAUGGUGUUCUAUUCAGAUGGUGUUCAACUUUAGACAUUUAAAAGAGAAAUGUCUACACCUCAGCCAAAUCUUUGUCUUUCCAUUUAGUGGAAAAAAUAGGUCCUUAAGAGUUUGUCUCAUCUGGCCAGUUUCUGACUUCUACAUGAAGAUGAAAUAAAUGAGACUCCUCGAUCUUCUCUUUUUCCAUUGAUCAUAAAGUGGUCACAGCAUGAUUCAAAUGACGGCUGCAUGGACAUCUAAAGUUAAGUGAGUGGAAAUGCAUUCUCUGGCUCCUGAAAGGAUUUUAUUUUUUGCUUCCUACAAAGUAGUACCCAGUUGGGAGAGUGAAUCAGGAUAUGAGACCUUUCAGACUACACAGCUGUAACUACAGUGAGGAAAAACUUGGAAUAUCCUGGAGGACAAAGGAGACUGCAAGACUCCCCCCAGUUUCUUACUGUGAAACCCUGAGUACCCCAGUGUGAACCUACUGGCUCACACAGAUUUCUGGAGAUGGAUAGCAAGCCCUUUGACAGCCACUACUGAUGAUUAUAAGUUACGUCACUUAAAAGGAUGAAAUUACUCACAUAUCCUCAGGCUCUGUGGGGAGGCACAGCUCUGAAUCGCUCCAAGCCAUAGGGGAGGGUGGAAGAAGAAUGGACAGCUGAAUCAGCUAUGAGACCAGUGACUCAACGGCAAGAAAAUUAUGCUAGCAGGUUGCAUUGUGGAGCCAUUUCAAGAUAGCCAAGCAGAUUUUCUUCCAGCCAGAACUAAAUUAGAAGAUGCAGGCCUGCCUCCUUUCAAAUGCUAUCAGGGAGAAAAGAAAGUCUGUAUUCCAGCAGAAUGAGCAGUGGUUACAGCCCAAGUGGCUCUCAUAAGUUUAAUUGGGAUCUACAACCAAGCACACUCAAUGUCAGUAUCUUCAGACUGCAGUUUGGGUCCUCAUCUCCCAAAGAACUGUACUGUCAAGAACUGCCUCACUAAUUGCCACUGUAACAGAAGGAAAGAAGGUUAAAUGUGGCCACGCAAAGUUAAUGUCAGUAAAGACACUGCUU
rnacentral:lncRNA from 7 species